rnacentral:rRNA from 1 species
GACAGAGGGGGCAAGCGUUGCUCGGAAUUACUGGGCGUAAAGGGCGCGUAGGCGGGAUGGCAAGUCGGUCGUGAAAUCCCUCGGCUCAACUGAGGAUCGUCGAUCGAUACUGCCGUUCUUGAGGAUUGCAGAGGAGACUGGAAUUCCCGGUGUAGCGGUGAAAUGUGUAGAGAUCGGGAGGAACACCGGUGGCGAAGGCAGGUCUCUGGGCCACUACUGACGCUGAGAAGCGAAAGCAUGGGGAGCGAACAGG